CCUACGGGAGGCAGCAGUGGGGAAUAUUGCACAAUGGGGGAAACCCUGAUGCAGCGACGCCGCGUGAGUGAAGAAGUAUUUCGGUACGUAAAGCUCUAUCAGCAGGGAAGAAAAUGACGGUACCUGACUAAUAAGCCCCGGCUACCUACGUACCAGCAGCCGCGGUCAUACGGAGGGGGCACGCGUUAUCCGGAUUUACUGGGUGUAAAGGGGGCGUAGACGGCAGCGCAAGUCUGGAGUGAAAUCCCAUGGCUUAACCAUGGAACUGCUUUGGAAACUGGGGAGCUAGAGUGCAGGAGAGGUAAGCGGAAUGCGUAGUGUAGCGGUGAAAUGCGUAGAUAUUAGGAGGAACACCAGUGGCGAAGGCGGCUUACUGGACUGUAACUGACGUUGAGGCUCGAAAGCGUGGGGAGCAAACAGGAUUAGAUACCCCUGUAGUC
rnacentral:rRNA from 1 species